rnacentral:rRNA from 1 species
AUCAACGCUGGCGGCGUGCCUAACACAUGCAAGUCGAAACGAGAAAAGUGGAGCAAUCCAUGAGUACAGUGGCGACCGGGGUGAGUAACACGUGACUAACCUUACCCUCGAGUGGGGAAUAACUCCGGGAAAAACCGGAGCUAAUACCGCAUAAACAUCGCAAGAUCAAAGCCGAAAAGGCGCUUUGAAGGAGGGGGGGGUCCGCGGCUGAUUAGCUAGUUGGUAGGGUUAACGGCCCUAUACCAAGGCGAAGAUCGGUAUCCGGCCUGAGAGAGGGCGCACGGACACACUGGAACUGAAACACGGUCCCAGACUCCUACGGGAGGCAGCAGUGGGGAAUUUUUGCGCAAUGGGGGAAACCCUGACGCAGCAACGCCGCGUGGAGGAUGAAGUCCCUUGGGAUGUAAACUCCUUUCGACCGGGAAGAUACUGACGGUACCGGAAGAAGAAGCACCGGCUAACCUCUGUGCCAGCAGCCGCGGUAAUACAGAGGGUGGCGAGCGUUGUUCGGAAUUAAUAUUGGGCGUAAAGGGCGCGUAGGGCGGUGCGGUUAAAGUCACCUGUGAAAUCUCCUGGCUCAACUGGGAGUCUGCAAGGCGAAAACUGCCGUGCUGGAGGUGGUGGGAGAGGGUGAAGUGGGAAUUCCCGGCGUAGCGGUGAAAUUGCGUAGAUAUCGGGAGGAACACCUGUGGCGAAAGCGGCUCACUGGACCAACAACUGACGCUGAGGCGGACGAAAAAGCUAGGGGGAGCAAACAGGAUUAGAUACCCUGGUAGUCCUAGCCCUAAACUAUGGAUGCUUGGUGUGAUGGGUACCCAAUCCCAUCGUGCCGAAGCUUAACGCCGAUAAGCAUCCCGCCUGGGGAGUACGGUCGCAAGGCUGAAACUCAAAGGAAUUGACCGGGGGCCCGCACAAGCGGUGGAGCAUGUGGUUCAAUUCGACGCAACGCGAAGAAACCUUACCUGGGCUCGAAAUGGAGUGGAAUCCGGUGGAAACAUCGGCGCCCGCAAGGGGCCGCUCUAUAGGUGCUGCAUGGCUGUCGUCAGCUCGUGUUCGUGAGAUGUUGGGUUUAAAGUCCCGCAACGAGCGCAAACCCUUAUCGUUAGUUGCCACCGGGUCAAGCCGGGCACUCUAGCGAAACCCGCCUCGGAUAACGGGGAGGAAGGUGGGGAUUGACGUCAAAGUCCUCAUGGCCUUUAUGUCCAGGGCUACAACACGUGCUACAAUGGUCGGUACAAACCGUCGCAAACCCCGCGAGGGGGAGGCUAUAAUUCGGAAAAAAGCCGGCCUCAGUUCGGAUUUGGAGUCCUGCCAACUCGACUCCAUGAAGCUGGAAUCGCUAGUAAAUCGCAGAUCAGAACGCUGCGGUGAAUACGUUUCCCGGGCCUUGUACACACCGCCCGUCACAUCACGAAAGUGGACUGCACUAGAAGCCGGUGAGCUAACCGCAAGGGAGCAAACCGUCCAAGGUAUGGUUUCAUGAUUGGGGUG